AAAAAUAAAUCACUUUAAAUUCAUGUGAAUAACCACGUAAAUGGAUAUUUUUUGAAUUUCAACAUACAUCAUGUGAUUCCUAUAAUCAUCAUAUUGUAACCAUGUAGGCUUUAUGUGAUUGACACAUAAUCUUCAAGUGAUGCGAAUAUUAUAGUCGAAGCUCAGUUUACGUACAUUUCCUAUGUGAAAAAUCAAAUGACAAUGUGUUUAAGAAUUUGUUGAAUGCAGCACAUAAACCUUCGCAAGUACGUCGCUAAAUAUUACUCAAAGAGAUUGAAAUAGGCUGUGAACAAAAGUGGAAGUAAAUUUUCAUAUUUCGCGUUUUUUACCAGUGAAGCUCUCGCAGUAAUGGGUGAAUUAAACGGAAUCGACGGAAGCUGUUCACCGUGGUGCGGGAAGCGGUCGAUCGACGCAGUCAUUCGCGGAAUCCACACGCCCGUGACCUAUGGCGAAUUUUCUGUUGAACACACCCAGGUGCUCUUCGAAUCGCACGACGAAGUUGGAGUUUAUUGUGGAAAAGCUAAAAUCCCAGGAGGCAGCACACAAGAUUUAAAGUUUAAAGAUAAUAAAUACUAUUUCUCUUCAUUUACUA